GACGAACGCUGGCGGCGUGCUUAACACAUGCAAGUCGAACGAAAAGCGCUGGAAGCUUGCUUCUAUCAAUCUUAGUGGCGGACGGGUGAGUAACGCGUAAUCAACCUGCCCUUCAGGGGGGGACAACAGUUGGAAACGACUGCUAAUACCGCAUACGCUCUAAUCUCGGCAUCGAUGGUAGAUUAAAGGUGGCCUCGACAUGUAAGCUAUCACUGAAGGAGGGGAUUGCGUCGGAUUGGCUCGUGGGGGGGGUAACGGCCCAUCAAGGCGAGGAUCAGGAGCAGCAAGGAGAGGACGGGCGGCCAGAUUGGGAGGGAGACACGGCACAGACUGAUACGGGAGGGAGCAGUGGGGAAACGGGAGGAAUGGGCGAAAGUCUGAGCGCGAAACGCGGAGGGAGGAAUGAGGGACUUCGGGUUGUAAAGCACUGUUAACGGGGAGGAAAGGCCUUCUUGCGAAUAGUGAGAAGGAUUGACGGUAACGGAAUAGAAAGCAACGGCUAACUACGUG
rnacentral:rRNA from 1 species